AAACUUCUUAAACUAAUUAUACUUGCUAAUUUCAAUAGGACUUGGACUCUAAUAGCUUCCUCAUUAUGCAAUGCUUUAAGAAAUCAUUUGCUCUCAUUUGAAUCUUCUCUUUCUUUUAGAAUAUGUUUUCUUAUUGAGUUGUCUUUGUAUUCUUUAUUUAUCUUAUCAUGGCUUGGUCAAAUAUAGCAGUUGCAGUUGAAGACUCCCUGGAUCAUGGAAUGGUUAGUAAGAAUAAGAGCCAUUUUGUUGUAAAAUCUAGACUAUACUGUGUCUCUUUCUUUCUUUCUAAUUGAUUACUUUGCAAUUUG
rnacentral:misc_RNA from 1 species